ensembl:lncRNA
AGAAAGUUAGAUCAUAAGUUCUAAGGUGAGAGCAAUGACAACCAUAUAUAUCAUAUUAGUUCCUUGUUACAGAACUUUUUUAUAUUUUUCUGUUUUAGUAACUGGAAUUCCCUGGUAGCUCAGCUGGUAAAGAAUCCUGCCACAAUGCAGAAGACCCUGGUUUGAUUCCUGGGUCAGGAAGAUCCACUGGAGAAAGGACAAGCUACCAACUCCAGUGUUCUAGGUGUCCUAGAUUUAAAGAAGGAAGAUCAGAGGGAUGAUCGUCUGGAGGUGAUCACUGAUGAUGACAAAGAGGCUGAGGAAGCAGGGGAUGGCAGAGAUGGCUUCCAUGGCUCCCCAGGAACCAUCAGUGGAACAAGUUACUGGGAAUGUGUUGAGUCUCCUUAACUGGGGAGAGGACCCAAGGAUGUUACCAUUCAUGUUGAAGAGUGUUACCCCCGUGGAGAGCACAGACCUUAGAAGAGAUAAGAGCUCCGAAGAGCCGACAGAAAGUCCUUGUCGCAAACGUGAGAAGGAAAAUCAGAACAAGUGGAAUAUUCUAGAUUGUAAAGAAGGUAACACUUCAGUGACCUCGAGAGAGCACCUUUUGGAGCAUGGUGAGCAAGUUACCCUGAUUAUAGGAAGUUGAGGAUUGCAUAGAUGGAAGAAAAUAGUUAAUACUCGUAGGCUGCUGACUUAGAUUUUAGCAGUAAGACAAGUGAAAAGGACUGAAAGAUGGAGUAGGAUCUUGGGGUGUUUUUUUGGUGUGUGUGUGUGUGUGCGCGCGUGCGCAAAUUUUAGAAGCUUGGGUGUUAUUGUACAGAAAGAAAGGAGAAAGAGAAACUGAAGCUAUGAAAAGGAGACCACUAGGUGGGUAGUGGUCUACCCAGUGGGUGCCCUACUAGCAGGGCACCUCUGGCUUUGGGAGGGCAUGUCACCCUGAGCCCAGGUAGCCUGGUGAGCCAAUGCAGAAACACUGACACCUCUUCCUUGGGAGGCCACAUUUUGGAUGGUGUCUAGACGCCUCAGCUAGCCUUCUGUAGCUAAAAAUGCAUGCUAUUACUAAUAGGUGGGGUCUUUACAAGGGUAUUGAAAUCAGGGCUGUUUAUCCCAAGCCUUUGGUUUUAGGUUACCGCGCAGAGCUACAAACUGCGCAGUGCCUCAUGUCGGGAGGUUCAUUAUUUUGUACUACAACAUAAAAGAGAUGUCUGGGGCUCCCAUGCAUGCAGUUAGCUCAUAACUCUGCCGUCCCUUCCUGCAGAACACCAUGGGGACUAUAUCUUUCUACUUUUACAUACAUCUCAGAUUCCUCUCUAGUAACUUUUCCCUGUUCCCAGGCGGCUGUUAAUGCUCCCAGUAGCUCUCCUGGUUUUGCCUGUAGACAACAUUCUCGGGAGAAGGCGGGAAACAGACACUGAGGUUUUCUUUAGGGGUGCUCCUGCCACGGCUGAGAGGUCAGAAUGCAAGGGACAGGAAUGCUCAUUCCCAAAGAUAAAAAUGUCCUGUCUGAGUACAUUUGAUACAGUCUAAUAGAAGCUAGCACAUAGCCAGUUGUGUUUAGUCUUUUUCCCAGGGAAAAUUUUCUACAGCAU